ensembl:lncRNA LINC01905 long intergenic non-protein coding RNA 1905
AAUCAAGUGAAGCAGCUAUCACAGGGUCUGGAACAUAGUACAUCCCAGCCUUCUUGCACAUAGAAACACUACACAGCACUUCAGCUGUAUGUUUGGGGGCCAUUUUAAACAGCAAAAUCAUCAACAGGAAGCAGAAAAUUGUAAAAAUUGUGGCACUAAAUAGACCAUGUAAAGGACACAUGUUUGCAAUAAGAAAGCUGAAACAAGAAGGGGGAGUGUCACCUUAUUUGAUCCAGCUAGAAACUCAGGUGCUGGUAUUCCAGCAACACUCAGGCGGCUGCUCCAGGAGGCUGCAGAGGGGUCCUUUUUAGCCGUCAACAAAACUGGCUAUGGUCACGCCCAUUGGGAAACUCAUUGCUGCCUUCAAGUUAGGUUCUGUCAAUAGAAGAUACUAAAGAAAGAAAGCCAGGAGAAGAAAAGGGACUUCUUUCUUCAAGGUCUAAGCUGUUCUAAUAGCAUUAUUCUGGGAAUGGCAUCUUCCACUCCUCCUAGUACAAAGAACCUGCUUCCUCAUACCCCGUCAAGGAACUGCAGCAUCCAGGUGAUGGCCACAGUGGCAGAACCUAGGAAGCCAAGAAGAAACCAGAGAAUGGAGACACAUGGCAGCAAUGGCAAGUCAUCAGACCCAGGAUUUCCCAAAGAACACUGGUCCAGGAAGAUGCUCUGUGAAAAAGUGUUCCCUGGUCGGAGAAAUUUGUGAAACACUUUGCAUAAUACUUAAAAGAAUGUAUGGCACAUCAAAGAUCUUAUAACAGUCUCCGCAGGAAGCAGCUGCAGUCAUUAGCCAUAGGACAGACUAAACACACAAUCUGCAUGGAAGGAGGCCUGGAUCAGCUUGGUCUUUCAGAUCUCUAAUCUCAGGCACAGGAAAGCACCAUCAACAGCACCCUUUGUAUAUAUACAUAAAGGUAACAUAUUUUAUCAUUUAAA